ACCUGGCUGACUCAGUUGGAAGAGUAUAUGACUCUUGAUCUUGGGGUUGUGAGUUCAAGCCCCACACUGGGCA
rnacentral:tRNA from 1 species